rnacentral:sRNA from 1 species
AUUAAAAACAAUAGAGGACAGGUAUUAUAGAGACUUUGUUUAAUGCUUAUCAAAAAUCACUGACAUGCACGAGUAUUAAAUUUGCUUUUAUUUUUUUUUUUUCAAAUUUUUUUCUAUGUUUAUUUCUUUUUAAAGAUUAUAAACUUUAUUUGUCUUGACAUUAAACUUUGACCCGCGACAAGUAGAAAGCGCGCGUUUCUUGUCUCGCAUAAAUUUCUUGUCUUUCGGCGAGUGACCUUCCACAGUUGGGUCCAUUGAUUUUGCAUAAACACGUCUGAAGCGAGAGAGCGCGCGAAACAUAGAGAGAGAGAGAGAGAACGGAGUGGGAGCGAACGCGGCUGCUGCUGCUGCUCUCUUAACACACACACAUACACGCGCACAAAAUGCAACUCAUUCAUGAAUGGCGGCGUCGGUGGUUUUUUUCUUCUUUUUUUCCAUCUUCUUCCGCUAUUCACACCUUCGCCCAGUCGCCAACAUGCACUUGUCGCAUUAGUGUUAAAAAGCGCCAGGAACUAAGGAGGAGUAGCCGAUUGAGAGUCGCAGCGCCGUCGCGUGUCUCGUGCGCCCACAAAAAGCUUUGAACAGCAGCCGGAGCAGGCCGACUAAAUUAAAAUAAAAAAAACUAAAGUGCGCAACAAAGCGGAAUGCGAAAAAAUAUAAAAUAUCAGCGGCGCUGGCAGGUGCCGGCAGAGGGUUGCCAGCAAGCAGGAAAAAAAAAAAAACCAACGAAAUAACAAUUAGAGAAA